AUUGAACGCUGGCGGAAUGCUUUACACAUGCAAGUCGAACGGCAGCACGGACUUCGGUCUGGUGGCGAGUGGCGAACGGGUGAGUAAUGUAUCGGAACGUGCCCAGUCGUGGGGGAUAACGUAGUGAAAAUUACGCUAAUACCGCAUACGAUCUAUGGAUGAAAGCGGGGGAUCGCAAGAUCUCGCGCGAUUGGAGCGGCCGAUAUCAGAUGAGGUAGUUGGUGGGGUAAAGUCCCACCAAGACAACGAUCUGUAGCUGGUCUGAGAGGACGACCAGCCACACUGGAACUGAGACACGGUCCAGACUCCUACGGGAGGCAGCAGUGGGGAAUUUUGGACAAUGGGCGAAAGCCUGAUCCAGCCAUUCCGCGUGCAGGAUGAAGGCCCUCGGGUUGUAAACUGCUUUUGUACAGAACGAAAAGGUUUCUACUAAUACUAGGAGCUCAUGACGGUACUGUAAGAAUAAGCACCGGCUAACUACGUGCCAGCCGCCGCAGUAA
rnacentral:rRNA from 1 species